rnacentral:rRNA from 1 species
GCACAAGCAGCGGAGCAUGUGGCUUAAUUCGAAGCAACGCGAAGAACCUUACCAGGGCUUGACAUUCAGGUGAAGCGGCGGAAACGUCGUGGCCGAGAGGAGCCUGAACAGGUGGUGCAUGGCUGUCGUCAGCUCGUGUCGUGAGAUGUUGGGUUAAGUCCCGCAACGAGCGCAACCCUCGUCGCAUGUUGCCAGCGGUUCGGCCGGGCACCCAUGCGAGACCGCCGGCGUUAAGCCGGAGGAAGGUGGGGACGACGUCAAGUCAUCAUGCCCCUUAUGUCCUGGGCUGCACACGUGCUACAAUGGUCGGCACAAUGGGCUGCCAGCCCGCGAGGGCGAGCGAAUCCCUAAAGCCGGCCCCAGUUCGGAUUGGAGGCUGCAACCCGCCUCCAUGAAGUCGGAGUUGCUAGUAAUCGCGGAUCAGCACGCCGCGGUGAAUGCGUUCCCGGGCCUUGUACAUACCGCCCGUCACACCACCCGAGUCGAUUGCACCCGAAGUCGCCGGCCCAACCCGCAAGGGAGGGAGGCGCCGAAGGUGUGGUUGGUAAGGGGGGUG